rnacentral:rRNA from 1 species
AGAGUUUGAUCCUGGCUCAGGACGAACGCUGGCGGCGUGCCUAAUACAUGCAAGUCGAGCGGUGCCCUUAGGGGUACAGCGGCGGACGGGUGAGUAACACGUGGGUAACCUGCCUGACAGACCGGGAUAACGCUUGGAAACGAGUGCUAAUACCGGAUAGGCUCUUGAAGCGCAUGCUUGGAGAGAGAAAGAGGCUAUCG